UCGAGGAUCAUUCGCAAUGCGCGAAAGCGUGACGAUGCGACGCUGCGUGGAGGACGAAGGCCUUCGGGUCGUAAACUCCUGUCAUUCGGGAUCAAUGCUACGAGAACUAACACUUUUCGCGGAGGGAUAGUACCGGAAGAGGAAGUCACGGCUAACUCUGUGCCAGCAGCCGCGGUAAUACAGAGGUGGCAAGCGUUGUUCGGAUUUACUGGGCGUAAAGCGCUUGCAGGUGGUUGGAUAAGUCCGUAGUGAAAUUUCCCGGCUUAACUGGGAAGGGUCUACGGAAACUGUCCGGCUUGAGUGUGGGAGGGGUGGACGGAAUUCCCGGUGUAGCGGUGAAAUGCGUAGAUAUCUGGAAGAACGCCAAAGGCGAAGGCAGAUCUCUGGGCCGUUACUGACGCUGAGACGCGAAAGCUAGGGGAGCAAACAGG
rnacentral:rRNA from 1 species